AGACAGAGGGUGCAAACGUUGUUCGGAAUUACUGGGCGUAAAGCGCGUGUAGGUGGCUUCGCAAGUCGAAUGUGAAAACCCCAACGGCUCACCCUGGGAAGAGCAUCCGAAACUGCGUCGCUAGAGUCCCGGAGAGGAAGGUGGAAUGCUUGGUGUAGAGGUGAAAUUCGUAGAUAUCAAGCGGAACACCAGUGGCGAAGGCGGCCUUCUGGACGGUGACUGACACUGAGACGCGAAAGCAU
rnacentral:rRNA from 1 species